GAUGAACGCUGGCGGCGCGCCUAACACAUGCAAGUCGAACGGCACCCCUCCUCGGAGGGAAGCGCGUGGCGAACGGCUGAGUAACACGUGGAGAACCUGCCCCCUCCCCCGGGAUAGCCGCCCGAAAGGACGGGCAAUACCGGAUACCCCGGGGUGCCGCAUGGCACCCCGGCUAAAGCCCCGACGGGAGGGGAUGGCUCCGCGGCCCAUCAGGUAGACGGCGGGGUGACGGCCCACCGUGCCGACAACGGGUAGCCGGGUUGAGAGACCGACCGGCCAGAUUGGGAAUGAGACACGGCCCAGACUCCUACGAGAGGCAGCAGUGGGGAAUCUUGCGCAAUGGGGGGAACCCUGACGCAGCGACGCCGCGUGCGGGACGGAGGCCUUCGGGUCGUAAACCGCUUUCAGCAGGGAAGAGUCAAGACUGUACCUGCAGAAGAAGCCCCGGCUAACUACGUG
rnacentral:rRNA from 1 species